GAUGAAGAACGUAGCGAAAUGCGAUAAGUAAUGUGAAUUGCAGAAUUCAGUGAAUCAUCGAAUCUUUGAACGCACAUUGCGCCCGCUAGUAUUCUGGCGGGCAUGCCUGUCCGAGCGUCAUUUCAACCCUCAAGCCCCCGGGCUUGGUGUUGGGGAUCGGCGAGCCUCCGCGCCCGCCGUCCCCUAAAUCUAGUGGCGGUCUCGCUGUAGCUUCCUCUGCGUAGUAGCACACCUCGCACUGGGAACAGCGCGGCCACGCCGUUAAACCCCCAACUUCUGAACGUUUGACCUCGGAUCAGGUAGGAAUACCCGCUGAACUUAAGCAUAUCAAUAAGCGGAGGA
rnacentral:misc_RNA from 1 species